UCACAUUUAAAAUUUAAUACUCAAUUAAAAACUUUUUUUACAGUAAUUUCUUAAAUUUUCAAUACUGCUGCCAGUUAGGUGCCAGGCACGAAAAGGAUUCUCAUUAUAAAAAUUAUAGCCCCUCAGAGCAAUAAAAAACAUGUCUUGAGUGAAGAUGGAGCGUCACUCGCUUCAUAAAUAUUAUAAAGCUAAACUGCUUAUGGCUUCGAUCUGUUGUGAGGCGUAUAACUUACGACUGGUAACGGGUAUAUGCAUGUAAGUGCGGGAAGACGAGACAAUAGCAAGAUUUGAAUCUAGGAUUCGAUAGAGUGUUAUUUUUGAAGAAAUGGGCAUGUUUAACGAACUAAAAUUCAAUGAGGCGGAAGUGAAUGAGCCUAAUAUUCCAGACGAAAAAAGUUUGAAAGCAUCAGCAGAAGAAAGGGAACGC